CUUCAAUAGAAAUUUGGAACAGAAAAAGCAAAGUUUCUAGCAAAACUAUUGAAGAAGACAAAGGAAGCUUGGUUCCAGCCACACAGGGGAGAAUUCCUAAACCUGCGACAUUUGCACCUGAAUAGCCAAUCUUGAAAUGGUGAGGUGUUGGAGGAUGUAAUACUGAAGGCACAGUAAGGUGCACUUAGGCUGAAGCACCACGACAGACAGUGAAUGAAAGCAAACAUGUGACUGAGGCUGGUCUGCUUCCAGUCCUCCCACCUUGGUUUCAAAUGACCUACCUCCAAGUCGGUCCAACUAGUCAAAUAGUCCCUUCCAAUUUACAGAUAAAGCUUUGAUUUACAUGGUUUCUCAAUGUUUCUGUGAAACAACAAACCAUUUUCAGACGAGGUGUAAUUAACUUCCUGCAUGGUAUAUUAAUAGGCCAUGUGUUUUCUUCAUCUUUAG
rnacentral:lncRNA from 1 species